rnacentral:rRNA from 1 species
CCUACGGGUGGCUGCAGUGGGGAAUAUUGCACAAUGGGGGAAACCCUGAUGCAGCGACGCCGCGUGAGUGAAGAAGUAAUUCGUGAUGGAAAGCUCUAUCAGCAGGGAAGAAAAGGACGGUACCUGAGUAAGAAGCCCCGGCUAACUACGGGCCAGCAGCCGCGGUAAUACGUCGGGGGCAAGCGUUAUCCGGAUUUACUGGGUGUAAAGGGAGCGUAGACGGCAGUGCAAGUCUGGAGUGAAAGGCGGGGGCUCCACCCCCGGACGGCUCUGGAAACUGUACGGCUGGAGUGCAGGAGAGUUUAGUGGAUUUCCUCGUGUAGCGGUGCCCUGCUUUGCUCUUAGGCGGAACACCAGUGGCGACGGCGGCUUACUUGACUGUACCUGCCGUUGAGGCUCG